CCUACGGGGGGCAGCAGUGGGGGAUAUUGCACAAUGGGGGGAACCCUGAUGCAGCGACGCCGCGUGGGUGAAGAAGCGCCUCGGCGCGUAAAGCCCUGUCAGCAGGGAAGAAAAUGACGGUACCUGAAGAAGAAGCCCCGGCUAACUACGUGCCAGCAGCCGCGGUAAUAAGUAGGGGGCAAGCGUGAUCCGGAUUUACUGGGGGGAAGGGGGGCGCAGACGGCGAUGCAGCCCAGGAGUGAAAGCCCGGGGCCCAACCCCGGGACUGCACUUGGCACUGCGUGGCUGGAGUGUAGGAGGGGCAGGCGGAAUUCCUGGUGUAGCGGUGAAAUGCGUAGAUAUCAGGAGGAACACCGGUGGCGAAGGCGGCCUGCUGGACUGCAACUGACGUUGAGGCCCGAAAGCGUGGGGAGCAAACAGGAUUAGAUACCCCUGUAGUC
rnacentral:rRNA from 1 species